rnacentral:rRNA from 1 species
AUGGCUCCUACGAUCAUCAAUAGUGAUAUAGUCCAGGGUGAGACCUUCCUCCCCGGACAGAUCUUCGUCUUCGGUGGCUUCGCACUGCGGGCCAGUUCACUUGGCCGUCUGGAGCAGAUCGAAAGCUACGCCCCUGGCCGUCAGGUCAGAUUUGGAAGUUUAAACUACACGGCUGAUGUCCACGGGGACUUGAUCUUCGACGGAUUCGAGCCACUGCCGAGCGCGCCGCACUGUCCCGACGAGCAUGAUCUAGCUCUGCCGCCGAACAGUGCCCAGGAGGCCGCACCCGCACCAGCUUCGACUCUUAAUUCGGAGCCAACUGCGCCGAUCGAGGAUGGGCAGUUGGACGCCACCUCGGGGGCUGUGACCCCAACGGCGAUUGAGCCGAACACCAUCCCCGUACUUUGCGAGACUCAUGACUCCAAGGAGCCGGACUCCUCUCCGGACUCCGAACCCUCCGCGCCCCUGCCGAUCGAAUCUGAUUGGGCGCCUAUCAUGGAGUUCACUGCCGCGGACAUCUUUCAGCACUCGCCUUUCGGCGAUAUCCUGAAGUCACUGAAGUCUCUCUUUUUAUCAGGAGAGCCCUGGCCGGACUACGUUCAGCAAGGUUGGGGUACGGACGAUGAAGAAAUUCAAAGCCCACCCACCACCCACUUUGUAGCCACCAUCGACGAUUCAACCGACAUGCUCGACCUCGACUCCGAAGACAUCGACGGUAUGGACGCCGAUGAAGGAGACGAUGAAGAACCAGCGCCUAUUGGGCCCUGGAACGCCACCUCGUCAUAUGACGUAUACAUGGUGGACGCACCAAAGGAUGAUGGCGAGGAGCGGAAGGACGCACCGAAGGCUUGUUCCCUCGAAAAGCAGUCAAAGCGGCGACACAAGCGCCGCCCCAAAUCCUGCCUCGACAGAGAUAGCGAUCACACAGACCCAGCGCUGGAGAAAGCCGAACCGCUGCCGGACAACGGCAAUCCAGAUAAUCAAACCGAACAAACAAAUCCUAUCAAGGAUAAUGGUACAGACGACAUAACGCCGGACAGGCACCCGGAGCAGCAGUCUGCCCGUAAAAGGCUUGUUGCCACCGCGAGGAGUCUAAAAAAGCAGAAGCAAAGGCUCAAGGCCAUGCAAGACACACUCCAAAUCAGAUGGAGUAAAAUACUCGACACAGCAGCAAGGUACGGUGACAAUCGCACCUACAAGAGCUAC